GUCGAACGAAGCACUGAAAGCGGAACACUUCGGUAUGAAGCUUUCUUUGACUGAGUGGCGGACGGGUGAGUAACGCGUGGGUAACCUGCCUCAUACAGGGGGAUAACAGUUAGAAAUGACUGCUAAUACCGCAUAAGCGCACGGAACCGCAUGGUUUUGUGUGAAAAACUCCGGUGGUAUGAGAUGGACCCGCGUCUGAUUAGCUGGUUGGCGGGGUAACGGCCCACCAAGGCGACGAUCAGUAGCCGGCCUGAGAGGGUGAACGGCCACAUUGGGACUGAGACACGGCCCAAACUCCUACGGGAGGCAGCAGUGGGGGAUAUUGCACAAUGGGGGAAACCCUGAUGCAGCGACGCCGCGUGAAGGAAGAAGUAUCUCGGUAUGUAAACUUCUAUCAGCAGGGAAGAAAAUGACGGUACCUGACCAAGAAGCCCCGGCUAACUACGUGCCAGCAGCCGCGGUAAUACGUAGGGGGCAAGCGUCAUCCGGAUUUACUGGGUGUAAAGGGAGCGUAGGCGGCGACGCAAGUCAGAAGUGAAAGCCCGGGGCUCAACUCCGGGACUGCUUUUGAAACUGCGUUGCUAGAUUGCGGGAGAGGCAAGUGGAAUUCCUAGUGUAGCGGUGAAAUGCGUAGAUAUUAGGAGGAACACCAGUGGCGAAGGCGGCUUGCUGGACCGUGAAUGACGCUGAGGCUCGAAAGCGUGG
rnacentral:rRNA from 1 species